GGAGGUAUAGCUCACUGGUAGAGCUCAUGCUUAGCAUGCACGACGUCCUGGAUUCAAUCCCUAGUACCUCCA
rnacentral:tRNA from 1 species